CUGCCCGGUGACANGAUUUAACGGCCGCGGUACCCUAACCGUGCGAAGGUAGCAUAAUCACUUGUUCUUUAAAUGAGGACUCGUAUCAACGGCAUCACGAGGAUCCUACUGUCUCCCCCCUCUAAUCGGUGAAACUGAUCUCUCCGUGAAGAAGCGGAGAUGUACAUAUAAGACGAGAAGACCCCAUGGAGCUUUAAACCCAACAACACCCGCCCCCCUCCAAAUCCUAUUAUUUACCCGGUGAUUGUUUGUUUGGUUUUAGGUUGGGGUGACCGCGGAGUAUAAGAUAUCCUCCAUGAAAAAAAGCUAACUGCCCUUAUUAGAGAAAGACACUUCCAAAAAAUAAUAAAUUAAUUUUAAAUGAUCCGACAUUCGAUCAACGAACCAAGUUACCCUGGGGAUAACAGCGCAAUCCGCCCCGAGAGCCCCUAUCGACAGGCGGGUUUACGACCUCGAUGUUGGAUCAGGGUAUCCCAGUGGUGCAGC
rnacentral:rRNA from 1 species